AACAGGAUUAGAUACCCUGGUAGUCCACGCCGUAAACGAUGUCGACUUGGAGGUUGUUCCCUUGAGGAGUGGCUUCCGGAGCUAACGCGUUAAGUCGACCGCCUGGGGAGUACGGCCGCAAGGUUAAAACUCAAAUGAAUUGACGGGGGCCCGCACAAGCGGUGAAGCAUGUGGUUUAAUUCGAUGCAACGCGAAGAACCUUACCUACUCUUGACAUCCACGGAAUUUGGCAGAGAUGCCUUAGUGCCUUCGGGAACCGUGAGACAGGUGCUGCAUGGCUGUCGUCAGCUCGUGUUGUGAAAUGUUGGGUUAAGUCCCGCAACGAGCGCAACCCUUAUCCUUUGUUGCCAGCGAUUCGGUCGGGAACUCAAAGGAGACUGCCGGUGAUAAACCGGAGGAAGGUGGGGAUGACGUCAAGUCAUCAUGGCCCUUACGAGUAGGGCUACACACGUGCUACAAUGGCGCAUACAAAGAGAAGCGACCUCGCGAGAGCAAGCGGACCUCACAAAGUGCGUCGUAGUCCGGAUCGGAGUCUGCAACUCGACUCCGUGAAGUCGGAAUCGCUAGUAAUC
rnacentral:rRNA from 1 species